GCCUUGAGCCCUGCAGGGGCCGUCGCGCGGGGGGACCCACCCGCUCUCCCCCCCAACCCUCCUCAGCAGAAGCAGCCGGCGGCGGGGGCAGGACUCAGCCCGUUUCAGAUCGUUCUCCGCCCGCCUCCUGGGGCUGCUAUUCUUUGGCCCCGGGACCCUAACCUCCUCCCGGGGCGGUUCCCUCUGUCUGGGCGUCCGAGUGCUGCCCACCUCUCUUUCAUUCCUCCCUGCACCUCCUUACCUUCACUUUUGCCCCGGCUUCUCUUUCUCCUCUCUGCCCUGACUGUCGCCUGCUCUCUUCACUGUAUCCCUCCAGCCUCCUUCCCUGGCUCAUUUUGCCCCGGAAAGUUUGGUGGCACCUCCCUCAGGUCAGCAGACUAGGAUUAGGGGGAGAUGUAGGAAGGCCUGAGAGUUCGAGGCGGGGGGAAGCUGGAAGCUGGUUUCCCUGAAAAAUUCCUCCUAUCUUUUAAAUUUAGAGUGGUUGGAAUUUUUAAAAAUUGUGUUUUUGAGGAGGUGGUAGGUGUUUAUAAAAGGAUGUGGGAAUGGAAGGGGUAGAUGAGUCAACCCUCUUACAAGAUUGCAAGGGUGGUGUGUUACCUGAGCCUUUUCCUGUGUGGAGUUCAGGGGGUCGGAAAGUUUGGCCUUUAUUCCCACAUUCAAAGUUGGAACCUCCUCCAAAUUAAUAAUGGAGUUUUAGUACCCACUUGUGGCAGGAAUCCUGGGGGGAAGGGGUCCUUUUUUCCUUUUUCUUUUCUUUUUCUUUUUUUCUUUUUCUUUUUCUUUUGGCAACCCACCUUCUUCCACACACUCAGCCAAAAACCAAACACCAAGAUCCUCUAACUUGUUUGGAUUGACUGAUGAAGACAUAAAGCCAGUUACGCUCUAUGUUUUUUGAGGUGGAGUGAGUGGUUUUUCUUCAUUUUAAAUGGCCAAAUGACAGCUUGACCCAGUUUGCUUUCCAAUCAAAGAGCAUUUUUUUGAAUGUCUCUUUGUGGCGCAAGAGCCAACGCAAAAAUGAUGGCGGCUUACAAUGGCGGUACAUCUGCAGCAGCAGCAGGUCACCACCACCACCAUCAUCACCACCUUUCACACCUUCCUCCUCCUCACCUUCACCACCACCACCACGCUCAACACCAUCUUCAUCCGGGGUCAGCUGCUGCUGUACACCCUGUACAGCAGCAUACCUCUUCGGCAGCUGCGGCAGCCGCAGCAGCGGCCGCAGCUGCAGCCAUGUUAAACCCUGGGCAACAACAGCCAUAUUUCCCAUCACCGGCACCGGGUCAGGCUCCUGGACCAGCUGCAGCAGCCCCAGCUCAGGUACAGGCUGCCGCAGCUGCUACAGUUAAGGCGCACCAUCAUCAGCACUCACACCAUCCACAACAGCAGCUGGAUAUUGAGCCGGACAGACCUAUUGGAUAUGGAGCCUUUGGUGUUGUCUGGUCAGUAACAGAUCCAAGAGAUGGAAAGAGAGUAGCACUUAAAAAGAUGCCCAACGUCUUCCAGAAUCUAGUCUCUUGCAAAAGAGUCUUCCGGGAAUUGAAGAUGUUGUGUUUUUUUAAACAUGAUAAUGUACUCUCUGCCCUUGACAUACUCCAACCUCCACACAUUGACUAUUUUGAAGAAAUAUAUGUUGUCACAGAAUUGAUGCAGAGUGACCUACAUAAAAUUAUCGUCUCUCCUCAACCACUCAGCUCAGAUCAUGUCAAAGUUUUUCUUUAUCAGAUUUUGCGAGGUUUGAAAUAUCUGCAUUCAGCUGGCAUUUUACAUCGAGACAUUAAGCCAGGGAAUCUCCUUGUGAACAGCAACUGUGUUCUAAAGAUUUGCGAUUUUGGAUUGGCCAGAGUAGAAGAACUAGAUGAAUCUCGUCAUAUGACUCAGGAAGUUGUUACUCAGUAUUAUCGGGCUCCGGAAAUCCUGAUGGGCAGUCGUCAUUACAGCAAUGCUAUUGACAUCUGGUCUGUCGGGUGUAUCUUUGCAGAACUACUAGGUCGAAGAAUAUUGUUUCAGGCACAAAGUCCCAUUCAGCAGUUGGAUUUGAUCACAGAUCUGUUGGGCACACCAUCACUGGAAGCGAUGAGGACAGCUUGUGAAGGCGCUAAGGCACACAUACUCAGGGGUCCUCAUAAGCAGCCAUCUCUUCCUGUACUCUAUACCCUGUCUAGCCAGGCUACACAUGAAGCUGUUCAUCUCCUCUGCAGGAUGUUGGUCUUUGAUCCAUCGAAAAGAAUAUCCGCUAAGGAUGCCUUAGCCCACCCCUACCUAGAUGAAGGGCGACUAAGAUAUCACACAUGUAUGUGUAAAUGUUGCUUUUCCACCUCUACUGGAAGAGUCUAUACCAGUGACUUUGAGCCCGUCACCAAUCCCAAAUUUGAUGACACUUUUGAGAAGAACCUCAGUUCUGUUCGACAGGUUAAAGCUGUUUGUCCAGGGAAUAUAUGCCAAGAAAGCUAUGUGUUACAAAAAUGCUGAUUUAAUAUUACAUCCAGGGGAAGAAAUUAUUCACCAGUUCAUUUUGGAACAGCAGAAAGGAAACAGAGUGCCUCUCUGCAUCAACCCUCAGUCUGCUGCUUUUAAGAGCUUUAUUAGUUCCACUGUUGCUCAGCCAUCUGAGAUGCCCCCGUCUCCUCUGGUGUGGGAGUGACAGUGCGAGAGAGUGUACUACUGAAGAUUGUGAUGUAGCUUUCCACUGGAGUCUGGGAUUUGCAAUUCUGGAGGUUAAUCAUGCUUGUACUGUAAUUUUACUAAUGAAGUUUUAAAUUAACAACCACUACUUGUAUGAUAUGAAUAAUAUUUAGAAAUGUUACUAGACUUUUAAUCUUGUAAAGUGGUUGUGCUUUUAGAAGAAAAAAUAUUUUACCCAGAGUUGCACAUGUUUUAUGAAUUUAGUGCAGCUGUUAUGGCUCACCUCAGAACAAAAGAGAAUUGAACCAAAUUUGGGAGUUUGGGGUUUUUGUUUUGUUUUUAUUAAAUGAAGUGAGAUUGUUCACAUACACUCCACACACACACACACACACACACACACACACACACACACACACACAAGACAGUCAUACAUUUUGAUAUUUGAGCCAUUCCUAAAGAUUUGGGGUUUUCUAAAACUAAAGAAUCUAGAAACCUUGCCUGCGACCAAUCAUGGAGCCACAUGAGCUGAUCGUGGCUGCACUUGGGGGAGGGGGGUCGGGAGGAGGGGCAUGCCACCUAAGGAUCAAGCCCUAUAAUUAGCUUCUCAUUAGAGCCGUGAUGGUGAUGUGUGCUGUCUAAAAUCCAAUGUUGUGGGUAGAGAGAAUGAGUUUGUGACUAGGAGAGACUACGUUUUUGUUUUCCUUACCCAGUAUAAAUAUAUAUAUAUAUAUUUAAUCUAUUUUUAUUAGAAGUUUUUCUGCUCUUUCUUACAUAAAAGAACCCCAAGCAUGCAUCUUCCAUGUUUGUAAAUAAUUCAUUUCUGGGCUAAUUUCAAAAGAACCCUAACAUUGCUGUAUAGAGAGAGAACUAGCUUGCACAUUUUAGGUCUGUGAAAUUCUGUGAGACUUUUCCUGCACUGGACAGUGAAAAAUAAUAAAUAAAAGACAAAAACAAAUUUUUUAAAAAAUUUAAAGCCACACAAAAAGGCACAUAGGGGAAUUAUGUCAAAUGUGUUUGUGUCCUUAGGCAAAGCUGUGGGAGUCUUGAAAUGUCACAGUAGUAAAUAACUUAUUACUUUUGACAAAUUCUUUUUUCUGUUGGAACACUGAAUUCUUCUGUGCAUAUGUAUAUAUGAAUACAAACUGAAGGCCUCUACCUCCUGGAGUUAUACAACUUGGCUUGUUUACCUCCACAUGCUGAUGAUGACUUUUUUUUUUUUUUUUAAGUUCAAUGUGGAGACUUGAAACUUGAAUGUCCCUUCCAACUUUUAUAUUAAAAAUAAAAAGACAAGAAAAUUGAAGAUCGUUUUUCACCUGUACAAGGCGUACUAAUGGAUUGUCUUAAAAUUGGUCUAGGAAAAAACUUGGUGUGUGUUAUGGACAAUUAACUGUUAAAGUUAUUGUAAGUUAUCUGUAUUUAGCAGAGUAUUUUCAUCUUGAGUGAUCUGAGCUGAAUUUGAAGACUAUUAAUAAGUUAUGUUUGGAAGUUUUAACUUCAGUGAAGUAAUUAUUUGCUGUGAAAGAAACAAACAUUGAAUUACUAAACAAAGAUGGUGCAAUAUCUUUGUUUUUUUUUAUGAGGCUCCUGAGAAUCAACCCAACUGAAGCAUUUCAAUUCACUUGAAUGAGAAACGUGUUUAGUAUCAAAAGAGCCCGAGAAGACACUGGUGUGAAAGGUACAAUCUCAGAGGUUGGUCAAUUACCGUGGCACACUUUCUGGUCACUUUGUACAAUGUAGAUUUGAAGUACAGUGGUGAAAACAUUAAAUGUGACAUUUGAAAAAGA